rnacentral:rRNA from 1 species
UACGAAGGGGGCUAGCGUUGUUCGGAAUUACUGGGCGUAAAGCGCGCGCAGGCGGCACUGUAAGUAAGGUGUGAAAUAUCCCUGCUCAACGGGGAGGGUGCACUUUAGACUGCAGAGCUAGAGGACGGUAGAGGGGGGUGGAAUUGCUGGUGUAGCGGUGAAAUGCGUAGAGAUCAGCAGGAACACCCGUGGCGAAGGCGGCCCCCUGGGCCGAACCUGACGCUGAGGCGCGAAGGCUAGGGGAGCGAACGGG